rnacentral:lncRNA from 1 species
GACACCGACUUCACUUACCAUACAAUGACUAAAAUGGGGCCAUCUAAAUAGUCAAAUGAAAGUUGUUAUUAUGCCCAAAAUCCACCAAGGCUAAAAAAUUUCCCCCCUAACCUCCAAAAUCCAAGACAUAAGCACAAACCAUAUCCUUCAAAACUUUAAAAGUUUGCUCUGACUGCCUAUCAAUUUGGGGAUAAAAAUUGGUGCUAAAGUUAACUUAGGUACCCAACUC